rnacentral:rRNA from 1 species
CCUACGGGAGGCAGCAGUAGGGAAUCUUCCGCAAUGGACGAAAGUCUGACGGAGCAACGCCGCGUGAACGAUGAAGGCCUUCGGGUCGUAAAGUUCUGUUGUUAGGGAAGAACAAGUGCUAGUUAAAUAAGCUGGCACCUUGACGGUACCUAACCAGAAAGCCACGGCUAACUACGUGCCAGCAGCCGCGGUAAUACGUAGGUGGCAAGCGUUGUCCGGAAUUAUUGGGCGUAAAGCGCGCGCAGGCGGUUUCUUAAGUCUGAUGUGAAAGCCCCCGGCUCAACCGGGGAGGGUCAUUGGAAACUGGGAAACUUGAGUGCAGAAGAGGAAAGUGGAAUUCCAAGUGUAGCGGUGAAAUGCGUAGAGAUUUGGAGGAACACCAGUGGCGAAGGCGACUUUCUGGUCUGUAACUGACGCUGAGGCGCGAAAGCGUGGGGAGCAAACAGGAUUAGAUACCCUGGUAGUCCACGCUGUAAACGAUGAGUGCUAAGUGUUAGAGGGUUUCCGCCCUUUAGUGCUGAAGUUAACGCAUUAAGCACUCCGCCUGGGGAGCGGUCGCAAGACUGAAACUCAAAGGAUUGACGGCUGNGAGNGCGACGCGACGACGAGGGAGAGG